rnacentral:rRNA from 1 species
UAGGGAAUAUUGGGCAAUGGACGCAAGUCUGACCCAGCCAUGCCGCGUGCAGGAUGAAGGCCUUCUGGGUUGUAAACUGCUUUUAUCUGGGAAGAAAAUACCCUUGCGAGGGGAACUGACGGUACCAGAUGAAUAAGCACCGGCUAACUCCGUGCCAGCAGCCGCGGUAAUACGGAGGGUGCAAGCGUUGUCCGGAUUUAUUGGGUUUAAAGGGUGCGUAGGCGGCCCGGUAAGUCAGUGGUGAAAGCCCAUCGCUCAACGAUGGAACUGCCAUUGAUACUGCCGGGCUUGAGUACAGACGAGGUAGGCGGAAUUGAUAGUGUAGCGGUGAAAUGCAUAGAUACUAUCAAGAACACCGAUUGCGUAGGCAGCUUACUAGGCUGUAACUGACGCUGAGGCACGAAAGCGUGGGGAGCGAACA